GACGAACGCUGGCGGCGUGCCUAAUACAUGCCAGUCGAACGCACAGUUUAUACCGUAGCUUGCUACACCAUAGACUGUGAGUUGCGAACGGGUGAGUAACGCGUAGGUAACCUGCCUGGUAGCGGGGGAUAACUAUUGGAAACGAUAGCUAAUACCGCAUAAUAUUAAUUAUUGCAUGAUAAUUAAUUGAAAGGUGCAAUUGCACCACUACCAGAUGGACCUGCGUUGUAUUAGCUAGUAGGUGAGGUAACGGCUCACCUAGGCGACGAUACAUAGCCGACCUGGGAGGGUGAUCGGCCACACUGGGACUGGGACACGGCCCAGACUCCUACGGGAGGGAGCAGUAGGGAAUCUUCGGCAAUGGGCGAAAGGCUGACCGAGCAACGCCGCGUGAGUGAAGAAGGUUUUCGGAUCGUAAAGCUCUGUUGUAAGAGAAGAACGGGGGUGAGAGUGGAACGUUCACACUGUGACGGUAUCUUACCAGAAAGGGACGGCUAACUACGUG
rnacentral:rRNA from 1 species